ACGUAGGGUCCAAGCGUUAAUCGGAAUUACUGGGCGUAAAGCGUCCGCAGGUGGCUUGAUAAGAUAGACGUGAAAUCCCUGGGCUCAACCUAGGAAUUGCGUUUAUGACUGUCUCGCUAGAGUAUGGGAGAGGGGGGUGGAAUUCCACGUGUAGCAGUGAAAUGCGUAGAGAUGUGGAGGAACACCGAUGGCGAAGGCAACCCCCUGGCCUAAUACUGACACUCAUGGACGAAAGCGUGGGGAGCAAACAGGAUUAGAUACCCUGGUAGUCCACGCCCUAAACGAUGUCUACUAGUUGUUGGGCUUUUCGGAGCUUAGUAACGCAGCUAACGCGUGAAGUAGACCGCCUGGGGAGUACGGUCGCAAGACUA
rnacentral:rRNA from 1 species